AUUAUGACAAUUUUUGAAAUUGUUACCCGAUCGACACACAACCCGCAAAACAAUUUACGUUAUCGUUAAACCUAACCAGUUUGUUGCGAACUCCCCGGCAAACUCGUUUGGAGAAGGGAAGGUUCGAUUUAUUUAAGGCGCCACACAAUCCGUUAAUUCGCAACGGGCACUGAUUGUGAAGUGAUGUUGGAAACAAGAGUUCAUACAAUAACGAAAAUUUAACAACACAAAGAUAUAGAGAGAAAAUAAAGAAACUCAAUAGAUGCAGUCAACUUCGAAAAGGUAUGAGUUGGAUGAUCUUCAGCAGCUUCCUUCGAGAUGGUAUGGUAAGGAGUGGAUAUCCAGUGGUAUUGAAGUUAUUAAAAUGUGCUCAGAAUUUUAGGACCAAGAAUUUCAUUAACAAAAAUGGUUCCCCCAAAA